rnacentral:rRNA from 1 species
AACACGUGGGUAACCUGCCCAAGAGACUGGGAUAACACCUGGAAACAGAUGCUAAUACCGGAUAACAACACUAGACGCAUGUCUAGAGUUUGAAAGAUGGUUCUGCUAUCACUCUUGGAUGGACCUGCGGUGCAUUAGCUAGUUGGUAAGGUAACGGCUUACCAAGGCAAUGAUGCAUAGCCGAGUUGAGAGACUGAUCGGCCACAUUGGGACUGAGACACGGCCCAAACUCCUACGGGAGGCAGCAGUAGGGAAUCUUCCACAAUGGACGAAAGUCUGAUGGAGCAACGCCGCGUGAGUGAAGAAGGGUUUCGGCUCGUAAAGCUCUGUUGGUAGUGAAGAAAGAUAGAGGUAGUAACUGGCCUUUAUUUGACGGUAAUUACUUAGAAAGUCACGGCUAACUACGUGCCAGCAGCCGCGGUAAUACGUAGGUGGCAAGCGUUGUCCGGAUUUAUUGGGCGUAAAGCGAGUGCAGGCGGUUCAAUAAGUCUGAUGUGAAAGCCUUCGGCUCAACCGGAGAAUUGCAUCAGAAACUGUUGAACUUGAGUGCAGAAGAGGAGAGUGGAACUCCAUGUGUAGCGGUGGAAUGCGUAAAUAUAUGGAAGAACACCAGUGGGCGAAGGCGGCUCUCUGGUCUGCAACUGACGCUGAGGCUCGAAAGCAUGGGUAGCGAACAGGAUUA